rnacentral:rRNA from 1 species
AUUGAACGCUGGCGGUAUGCUUAACACAUGCAAGUCGAACGAUGAGAAAGAGCUUGCUCUUUCGAUUAGUGGCGGACGGGUGCGUAACGCGUAGGAAUCUACCUAUUAGUGGGGGACAACUUAGGGAAACUUAAGCUAAUACCGCAUACGCCCUACGGGGGAAAGAAGGGGAUCGCAAGACCUUUUGCUAAUAGAUGAGCCUGCGUAGGAUUAGCUAGUUGGUGGGGUAAAAGCUCACCAAGGCGACGAUCCUUAACUGGUUUGAGAGAAUGAUCAGUCACACGGGAACUGAGACACGGUCCAGACUCCUACGGGAGGCAGCAGUGGGGAAUAUUGGACAAUGGGCGAAAGCCUGAUCCAGCAAUACCGCGUGUGUGAAGAAGGCCUUAGGGUUGUAAAGCACUUUCAAUUGGAAGGAAAACCUCGAAGCUAAUACCUUCGAGUUUGACAUUACCUUUAGAAGAAGCACCGGCUAACUCCGUGCCAGCAGCCGCGGUAA